GAUGAACGCUAGCUACAGGCCUAACACAUGCAAGUCGAGGGGAAACGAUGAGAGAGCUUGCUCCCUUAGGCGUCGACCGGCGCACGGGUGAGUAACGCAUAUCCAACCUACCCGUCACAGGGGGAUAACCUUGCGCAGGUAAGACUAAUACCCCAUGUCUUUUUCUGGUGGCAUCAUUGUAGGAUUAAAGAUUUAUUGGUAAUGUAUGGGGAUGCGUCUGAUUAGCUUGUUGGCGGGGUAACGGCCCACCAAGGCGACGAUCAGUAGGGGUUCUGAGAGGAAGGUCCACCAGAUCGGAACCGCGACACGGUCCACACUCCUACGGGAGGCAGCAGUGAGGAAUAUUGGUCACUGGGCGAGAGCUUGAACCAGCCAAGUGAGGUACAGGAUGACGGCCCUAUGGGUUGUAAACUGCUUUUAUAGGAGAAUAAAGUGAGUUACGUGUAGUUUAUUGCAUGUACCCAAUGAAUAAGGACCGGCUAAUUCCGUG
rnacentral:rRNA from 1 species